CUCCGUUCCGUUAUUCAUGGCCUAUUUCUUUUGGGUACGGAUAUUUAGGAGAAUAAGAUUGUAGUGUAAAAGUGUGUAAAGGUGUGCGGCCACAUUAUUUGAAGUGUGAAAUCAUUACCGAGUCAUGAAAAACAAGACAGCCGAAAAAGGAAAACAGGUCAUCAAUAAUGUGUCGGGGGAGUAGUAAUUACAAAGCUCUGACGCCAAGCACUAACAUAGUUGAAGAAGGAUGACACGAUGGGUGGAGAGUAUCUGUAGUAAGGAAUAAGUCCAAGAUAAAGGAAGUAGGAAGUGACAGCCGAUCUGAUGAGAAAGGGAUGGUUUGUUGGGGGAUUUAGCAUCGACAAGGAAGCCGUAAAACUUGAGAAGAAAAAAAACAACGAGAAAAGACAUCCGGUAAAGAUAACCAACCACAAUUGUAUCAUCGUCACCGACGGCGCACCGAAUAAGAGCCCUACAAUUGUGAGCACUGACCAAAUNNN
rnacentral:lncRNA from 1 species